AUGCAGCUGGGUAGUAAUGCACGUCGUGGGUAUUCGGAAAUCCCACUUUUUUGCAGUGAAUGGCANNNNNNNNNNNNNNNNNNNNNNNNNNNNNNNNNNNNNNNNNNNNNNNNNNNNNNNNNNNNNNNNNNNNNNNNGAGGGUAGGAGGGGGUGGGAAGGGAGGAGCAGACAUACUCAUUGAUUAUUUGAAAGUUGGAAGUUUGUGCCAUCCAUUUGAGUUCAUGCACAUUAACAAAAUAGCACACGAAAACAUGCAAAGCAUUUUAUUCUGUGAUGAUGGAGAAGACUUUCCUUUUUCAUUUGUUUUAGCAUCUUUCUCUGAAGUAUGUUUUUAAAAGAUUUUUGUAAGGGUCGUUUUUCAGUGUUUAAAUUAGUGCUAUUUUUUUCUUUUUAAAAAUGAAUCUUGUACUGUAUCUUACUAUGUCUAUAACAGAUGUUAAGAAUUGGAACAGUUUUAUUCUUAGACUCAUGUGAUCCAAUCUGUAUAUACCAUAUAUAAACAUUUUACACGAAUCAUUUAGUUUUUUAAUUCAUUUACUAAUGCUGUAAACUUCCCUAUAUUUACCCCCAGUAACUUGCAUCAGAUGGUGUAUAUGCUAAAGCAACAUGUUUUAAUGAGUUUCUUAUAUCCUUGUCUAUGGGGAAAUUGGGUUAGGGAAAAAACAAAAACAACAUAAUUAUAAAGCUGAAUUUGCUCCAUACUUUUUUGCUUGGAUAUUUGUUGUAUGCUAACAUGUUGAUUAAACUGUCCACUUAAAUCAAGGUACCUGUAUUUUUAAUCCACUAUUUCUUUUUUUUUUUUUCCUAAUUGGGAAAGAGAAGGAUUUGAGGUCUUUCAUUGGAGUUACAUUUUUAGAAAAGUAACAUUAGCUUUAUACACAAAGGCUGUAAUUGUAAGGGAGGCGGAAGCAGAAAUUCAGGAAGUUGUUAUUUGCUUAUGUGCAUCAUAUUAGGUAAUGCAUCAGACUUCACUUUGGUUUGAGGCCUGAAAUGCUUUAGGAAUGUCGCUCACCAGCCAAAAGUGAGUGGCACAGAAAUGUCUCCACCCCAUGUAGUGUUCUGUUAGAUGGUGCAACACAAAGCGCAUAAUUGAGAACAUCUCGGGACAGAUCAAAAGCACUGACAGACAUAUGGCAAGACUGAGAUUCUGAUUUUCUUUGUUACAUCUGCUCAACUCCGGGAGUCAUUGGAAACUGCUUAAGUUUUGUCUCUGCCACUGAAGUCUUAGAAGUUUUAUCUUGUAAAACUAUUCCACUGCUUUAUGCACACAUCUCGCUCCCCCCACAUCAUUGCUGCCCUGCAGUGCACCUCUGCCCCUUUUAUUGUCCGAAGACCAGGAAUUGAAUGGUUAGAUAUAGUAAAGCAGCCUCUCUUUCUGUGAUGACCAUCUCCUCUAAAGUUGAAAGCUGAUACAUGAAAACAUUCUACUUUCAGCCCAAAGUAAAGGCCGGGUAGGAAACUCAUUUUUACAUUGGGUAGAUGGUACAGUUGAGGAAAGAUGACUUGGCCUGGACACUUUGGGGUCCCUUCUCCACCAGGUGCUUUAGGCCACAGAAGGACCCUUAGUGGUCUGCCAAGUGGGCUGGAGUAUUGGUUGUCAUCUGUGAGCUUGGAUGAGCUCUUGAGGGUCCAUUUGAGUAAGCCCUCCACAAAUAUUCAGUAACCUGGGAGGGUGUCAUAAAUUAUUCAGAAAUUAUGACUGUAUUAAUCUGACUCAGAGUAGCAUACAUUUACAUAUAUAAUGGCUCUCAUUACCAUUUGGUUCAUAAAUACUACUGAGUGACAUUAGAUUUUAAUAACAAAUUUAGCUUUUUAAAAAGAAUUGUUGACAGUGGUGGUUAAAAAAACAGGUACCAUAUUCAAUGCUUUUGCACCAAGUGUUUGACAGGUUGUCUAUUUUUUAAUACACAUCGGCUAUGAACCACAUUUGUUCUAAUAUUUCAAAUUAUAUAUUGUGGAAAAUAUUUCUUGAAUGUGUGAGGCUUAAAUUUUUUCCUCUUUCAAUAUGAUUUUUAUUCUUGUGUCUUAUUUGGUUUUUGCAUUGAUAGCAAAGUGAUAAUUUAUAAUACUAGCCAAAAUUGACUUCUCUUUCAAACCAGAUCCAUGUAUACAUGGGGCUUGUUGCUUCUCUGGGUAAAUGCUUUAUCUGUGAAUUUUCAGACAAAAUGGGCAACUGGCAAUGCUCAUAACAUAUUCCAAUUUUUAUUGGAAUUUUCCAUGGAAUGUUAUUAUUACAUUAAAGCUAUGUAAGGUGAAGCUUUGAUAAUUUUUUACUUUUAAAAUUAUGAUAAAUUCUAAUCUAAUAUUAAAAAAAAUUUUUGUACUCCACAUGAAAAAUGCUAAAUUAUAGUGCAGGCAUUUAGGAAAGUAUUGAGGGAUUGAAUUCCUUAAGAAUUUCUUUUCUAGUUCUGAGUCAUAAAUACUCAAUUGACUUAAAUUUCUAAAAUUGUAAACUGAGUCUUUUUAUUGUAAAUCUACCAUAGUAAAGCCUUUGGAAUUUUUUUUCUGCUUUUUCCUUGUUACAACUCAUUUAAAAACCGAAUUAGUUUUCUUAGGUGACAUAAACCUGUCUCUUGAGAAAUAAAUAAAACACUCUUGUGUUUCCAGUGGCUGUGGGACCUGAAAUGUGUUUCCUAGAGACGGAAACACAUUCUGUUGAAGUUAACUUUUCUUUGUCACAAUUUUGGAUAAUAAACAUCUAAAAGUAUUAAUGUUUAAAGACUUAUAUUCUCUACUGGGGCCCUUAAAAUUUAGAUGGAAGAAAUCCAACCAGAAUAUUUAUAUUAGAGUAUAAUCUCAUCUGGUAGGAUGAACUAGCUGACCAUGGAUACGUUUUUGUGAUUUUUUUCCCCCCAAGUUGUCUUUUCUAACUUUAAAUGUGUUCUGAGAUAUGCGAACAUUAAUUGUAAUGUCAACUAUUAUACAACUGUCUUUGCAACUUUAUAGGCAGGUGAAUUUUGCUGUUACUAAUGGCCAUUCAUUUAUAAUCUCUGAAAUAGCAUUUGUGGCAUUUAAUGACAAAAGUUAAAAUGUCCAUUAUGGAUGUUAAUUCUGAAGAGCCAAAUUACAUGUUAUUUAAAUUUUUCUGGGCAUCUGAAAAACUCAUCUGCUAAACAACGUAAGUUUCCUCAGCGUCAUCUAGGAUUAUGAAAUUGUUGCAGAUGUUAUCAAAAUUGAAGGAGAAAGGGGAAAAAAAAUCAUUACACAAUGAUCAGACUUUUCUAAUGAAACAGCCAAGAAAAUAAAAUCCUUCCAUAUUUCAAAAACUGAUGAAGUCUUUUCAGACAUAUCUGAACUUUGAGAAUUUCCUCAAUCAUCUAAAUGCCCUAGAGAUUUUGGUUCUCUCUGUUCACAACCAGUUGUAUAACAAAUGCUCAGUAGUGUUUUCCUCCCUGUGUGUGAAGUAAUGAAUCAUUGGUUAUGUGACUUGUUAUGUAUUCUAUUAAACACUAAAGAAUAAAACAUUCACUCCUUUGAUUAUUCCUCUUAGC
ensembl:lncRNA